rnacentral:rRNA from 1 species
GAUGAACGCUGGCGGCGUGCUUAACACAUGCAAGUCGAACGAUGAAGCCCAGCUUGCUGGGUGGAUUAGUGGCGAACGGGUGAGUAACACGUGAGUAACCUGCCCUUAACUCUGGGAUAAGCCUGGGAAACUGGGUCUAAUACCGGAUAGGAGCGUCCACCGCAUGGUGGGUGUUGGAAAGAUUUAUCGGUUUUGGAUGGACUCGCGGCCUAUCAGCUUGUUGGUGAGGUAAUGGCUCACCAAGGCGACGACGGGUAGCCGGCCUGAGAGGGUGACCGGCCACACUGGGACUGAGACACGGCCCAGACUCCUACGGGAGGCAGCAGUGGGGAAUAUUGCACAAUGGGCGCAAGCCUGAUGCAGCGACGCCGCGUGAGGGAUGACGGCCUUCGGGUUGUAAACCUCUUUCAGUAGGGAAGAAGCGAAAGUGACGGUACCUGCAGAAGAAGCACCGGCUAACUAGGUG